UACAGAGGUCUCAACCGUUGUUCGGAUUCAUUGGGCGUAAAGAGCUCGUAGGCGGUCUGUUGCGUCCGCUGUGAAAACUCGGGGCUUAACCCCGAGCCUGCAGUGGAUACGGGCAGACUAGAGGUAGGUAGGGGAGAAUGGAAUUCCCGGUGUAGCGGUGAAAUGCGCAGAUAUCGGGAGGAAUACCAGUGGCGAAGGCGGCGACCUGGGCCAAUACUGACGCUGAGGUGCGAAAGCGUGGGGAGCAAACAGG
rnacentral:rRNA from 1 species